rnacentral:rRNA from 1 species
AACGUACGCUGGCGGCACGCCUAACACAUGCAAGUCGAACGAAGUAGCAAUACUUAGUGGCAGACGGGUGAGUAACAUGUAGGUAUCUGCCCUUUGGCCUGGAAUAACACGAGGAAACUUGUGCUAAUACCGGAUAAGUCUUUACGGAGAAAGCUUUAUGCACCAUUGGAUGAGCCUGCACUUGAUUAGUUUGUUGGUGGGGUAAUGGCCUACCAAGACUGUGAUCAAUAGCUGAUUUGAGAGGAUGAUCAGCCACAUUGGGACUGAGACACGGCCCAAACUCCUACGGGAGGCAGCAGUGGGGAAUCUUGCACAAUGGAGGAAACUCUGAUGCAGCGAUGCCGCGUGAGUGAAGAAGGCCCUUGGGUUGUAAAGCUCUUUCGUCGGGGAAGAAAAUGACUGUACCCGAAUAAGAAGGUCCGGCUAACUUCGUGCCAGCAGCCGCGGUAAUACGAAGGGACCUAGCGUAGUUCGGAAUUACUGGGCUUAAAGAGUUCGUAGGUGGUUGAAAAAGUUAGUGGUGAAAUCCCAGAGCUUAACUCUGGAACUGCCAUUAAAACUUUUCAGCUAGAGUAUGAUAGAGGAAAGCAGAAUUUCUAGUGUAGAGGUGAAAUUCGUAGAUAUUAGAAAGAAUACCAAUUGCGAAGGCAGCUUUCUGGAUCAUUACUGACACUGAGGAACGAAAGCAUGGGUAGCGAAGAGGAUUAGAUACCCUCGUAGUCCAUGCCGUAAACGAUGUGUGUUAGACGUUGGAAAUUUAUUUUCAGUGUCGCAGGGAAACCGAUAAACACACCGCCUGGGGAGUACGACCGCAAGGUUAAAACUCAAAUGAAUUGACGGGGACCCGCACAAGUAGUGGAGCAUGUGGUUUAAUUCGAAGAUACGCGCAGAACCUUACCAACACUUGACAUGUUCGUCGCGACUCUAAGAGAUUAGAGUUUUCGGUUCGGCCGGACGAAACACAGGUGCUGCAUGGCUGUCGUCAGCUCGUGUCGUGAGAUGUUGGGUUAAGUCCCGCAACGAGCGCAACCCUCACUUUUAGUUGCCAUCAUUAAGUUGGGCACUCUGAAAGAACUGCCAGUGAUAAGCUGGAGGAAGGUGGGGAUGACGUCAAGUCCUCAUGGCCCUUACGUGUUGGGCUACACACGUGCUACAAUGGUAUCUACAACAGGAAGCAAGGCUGCGAAGUUAAGCAAAUCCCUAAAAGAUACCUCAGUUCGGAUUGCACUCUGCAACUCGAGUGCAUGAAGCUGGAAUUACUAGUAAUCGUGGAUCAGCGUGCCACGGUGAAUGCGUUCCCGGGUCU